rnacentral:rRNA from 1 species
UACGGAGGAUCCGAGCGUUAUCCGGAUUUAUUGGGUUUAAAGGGAGCGUAGGUGGAUUGUUAAGUCAGUUGUGAAAGUUUGCGGCUCAACCGUAAAAUUGCAGUUGAAACUGGCAGUCUUGAGUACAGUAGAGGUGGGCGGAAUUCGUGGUGUAGCGGUGAAAUGCUUAGAUAUCACGAAGAACUCCGAUUGCGAAGGCAGCUCACUAGACUGGUGACUGACACUGAGGCUCGAAAGUGUGGGUAUCAAACAGG